GCCAGCAUGAUGUAGUGGUUUGAGUGUUGGACUAGGACUCUGGAGACCAGGGUUCGAUUCCCAGCUUGGCU